rnacentral:rRNA from 1 species
UACGGGGGGGGCAAGCGUUGUUCGGAAUUACUGGGCGUAAAGGGUUUGUAGGUGGCUUGUUAAGUCAGACGUGAAAUCCCUCGGCUCAACCGGGGAACUGCGUCUGAUACUGGGUGGCUUGAAUCCGGGAGAGGGAUGCGGAAUUCCAGGUGUAGCGGUGAAAUGCGUAGAUAUCUGGAGGAACACCGGUGGCGAAGGCGGCAUCCUGGACCGGCAUUGACGCUGAGGCGCGAAAGCCAGGGGAGCAAAGCGGG